UGUUUAUUUUCUUUCAUUCUUUUCUCUUUUAUGAAGUCUAACAAGAUGGCUUUCCAUUUCAACUGUCUGAGGGUAUACAUUUAAAUAUAUCUUUGGUGAACAAUAACCCUAUUUGGCUCAGUUCAAACAGGAAACAGUAUAAUGGCAUGUGGUCUGAAGCCCCUAACCCAUUCUCAGUCUUUGUGAUUUUGCAGUAAAAUAAAAUAAUAAUAAUUAAAAAAAAAAUAAAAAAUCGAAUCUAAAAAAUCGAAUCAAAUCUAGGGACCAGAAUAUCUUGGAGAUGUGGGUCUCUUAAUAAUAGUAAUAAUAAAAUUUAUUUUUCUUCUUCUUAUUAUUAUUAUUAAUAAGAAGGAUUCUAGAUAUUUCUAGAAGUUUCUAGAAAUGUUUGUAGCAUUAAUGUUAAAUGGUCAGUACAGUUUCUUCUCUGUUUCUCUAGAGAUGCAGUGUAGUAUUAAUAUAAGCACCUAAAUCAAACUUAAAAGGUAAUAAUCCAUUAUUUAAUUAUGUAUUUACUAAUGGCAAAAUUUUGUAUAUUUUAACAUAUAAUCUGGUUCUUUUAUGAAGCUGUAAUUAUUUCUAAAGUGUUACAAUCAAACUACAAUAACGAGCUGAGGAGUUUAAAUGCACACUGAAUGCAGAGCACACUUACGCCACUAGAUGGAGACCCUAACUUUAGAGAGAAAACAUCGAAACAUUUUAUAAUGUAAAAUUACAUUUCAAUAUAACCAACUUCGACCUUUUUAACAAUACGUCAUCAUUUCUCUGUAUUUCUGCACCCAUAUACAACCAAUAAAUGGAUUAAAGCAAGUUAUAACUAGAGCUUUCUGUCCACAACAUCCACAUGCAGUACUUUAAUUCAGCCACUAGAUGGACAAACACUCUCACAGAAUGAGGAUCUCAUGCGUAGCACUAAAAACCAAAGCCUAUAAUAUGGCUUAUAAGGCCGCAGAAAUGAAGAGAGCUGUUGUUUCAAUAGCAGGAAGUGGAGCCCUCAGUGAGUACAAACACAACUAUGAGUGGCCAAUAAAUUGGAAGUCUCACACAUUCACAGAAAACACCUUAUUUCCGCGUUGAAAAAUAAGAGGGCAGCAAAGUCCAGAACAGCACUGUUGACACACGACCCUACUACUCUCUACCGAUUUCCACAAACAGACAGAUGGGCAAAAUGGAUUUAUAUUUUUUUUGUGUGUGUGUGCUUUCAUGUGUAUACAUGUGUGAAUUGUAUAUGUAUAUGUCAGAGAUCAUAAAUGUGUUUUUUUUUUAAUAUCCUGCCUUGUCAGAUUCACUUUUACUCUCUCGGGUCACUCUGUUGAGUCUCUCUCUUCGCUUUAACAUGAAAGGAUAAAGUGUGAUACACACACACAAAUAUAUGUGCGCAGGUUGGAGUCCAUUAAAGUCAGCGCCCUCUCUAGUAGAAGUCCAGUGUGACAGCAAGGUCGCAGAAGGUCAAAUCUCCUCAAUGCAGUUCAUCUUGUCACAGAAACAAACUUCUGCCUCUGACCCCCCCGACAGCUUUGGCCUCUGACCUCAUGUUCUUAGGACUCUCUCUCUCCCCUUUAGAUCCUUUUUUUUUUCUUUCAUUAUGAGUGAGCACACAAAGCCGUUCUCUAAUCAUUGUCCAACAGACAGGACAGGAGGUAGAAUGAUAUUAUUAUCUACUUAAAAGGGCUUUAUUCAGCUAUCAUAUGACCAAAAAACAUUGAGUUAAAGUGUGGACUGCAUAGUUGCCUGCAUUACUAUGCAAAAAUUUUAACAGUUUCAAAUUUUUGUAAAUUUUUCGAACAAUUUUCUAAUAAAUUAUAAAUUAUUUACAAAAAAAGGAUUUUACUUGACUAAAAUUGUCAUUUUAAUCUGUUAAAUGGACUAAAAAUAAUGCAUAUAAAAUGCAAAAAACUUAGACAUUUAUUCAGCUUAAAGGUGGAAUAGGUGAUUCUCUACAGAAACGUUUUUGUUAUACUGGUUGAAAGUCAUAUCCUGAUAG